rnacentral:rRNA from 1 species
GGCGAACGGGUGAGUAAUGCAUCGGAACGUACCCGGGAGUGGGGGAUAACGUAGCGAAAGUUACGCUAAUACCGCAUAUUCUGUGAGCAGGAAAGAGGGGGAUCGCAAGACCUCUUGCUUCCGGAGCGGCCGAUGUCGGAUUAGCUAGUUGGUGAGGUAAAGGCUUACCAAGGCGACGAUCCGUAGCGGGUCUGAGAGGAUGAUCCGCCACACUGGGACUGAGACACGGCCCAGACUCCUACGGGAGGCAGCAGUGGGGAAUUUUGGACAAUGGGGGCAACCCUGAUCCAGCCAUGCCGCGUGAGUGAAGAAGGCCUUCGGGUUGUAAAGCUCUUUCGGCUGGGAAGAAAUCGCAUCUCCUAAUACGGGGUGUGGAUGACGGUACCGGAAUAAGAAGCACCGGCUAACUACGUGCCAGCAGCCGCGGUAAUACGUAGGGUGCGAGCGUUAAUCGGAAUUACUGGGCGUAAAGCGUGCGCAGGCGGCUCUAUAAGACAGAUGUGAAA